rnacentral:lncRNA from 1 species
UGCCUGGUCUGCUGAAGCUGACGAAUCGGGAAACCAUGCAAUUGAGGCGAACCUUGGGCUGUUUUAGAGGCGCUGAGGAGCUUUCUCCUGG